GACAGAGGGUGCAAACGUUGCUCGGAAUCACUGGGCGUAAAGGGCGUGUAGGCGGGAAGGAAAGUCAGAUGUGAAAUCCCCAGGCUCAACCUGGGAACUGCGUCCGAUACUGGAUGGCUUGAAUCCGGGAGAGGGAUGCAGAAUUCCAGGUGUAGCGGUGAAAUGCGUAGAUAUCUGGAGGAAUACCGGUGGCGAAGGCGGCAUCCUGGACCGGCAUUGACGCUGAGGAGCGAAAGCCAGGGGAGCAAACGGG
rnacentral:rRNA from 1 species